UUUGCCUCAGUUACGGAUUGGGGAAGAUUAUGAAACGGGGAGCUAAAGGGCGGAAUCCGUUCGUGGUGUGAUGGGAGGAGAAACGGUCGGGAGCGAGAGAAUCGAAGGGGAGAUCAACCUGCGGUGGAGGCGCUCGCGCGAGGAGGAAGUCGAUGGGCGCUCGGCAGCGUGAUGGGUGGCGGCGCUCGGCCGAAGAGGAAGAAGAUGCAGGAGCGAGGGGACUGGGUCGCUCGGCAGAGGGAGGGAGGGCCGAGGGGUAUAGUAGCCCACUGCCGACGAGGCAGAGGGUAGAGGGAGGAAGUAGUAAACGAGAUCGAAUCAUGUAACGGACGGAAUACAACUGUAAAUCCAGUAAUUUAACAGUUUAGUCUACAACGUGAACGUGGUUUAAAAAAGCAUCAUUUAAGCAUGCAAAAGCUCUCAUCGGUCGAAAAAUGCAUCGCUUAGAUUUUGUUUGUUUGGGCUUAAAACCGUUUUUUGACUUUUGGUUUUUAUGCCACAAAAAUAUCUAUUUAGAUGCUUUCAGCUUUGGCUUUUCACAUUUUACUUAAUAUUUUUAGAUGAUGGUAUAAGUAAAAACCAAGUCAAAAUCACUUAAAUAGAAAAAACAACUAAAUAGGUGUUUUUUUGAUUUAUAAGCCAAAAAAGAAACAGUUUUAAACCCAACCAAAUAGGGUCUUAUGUCCUAAGCGACUACUUCAGGGCUGAUAAGGCUCGUUAGCACAAUUCUCAGCCGCAGGGACGACUUCUCUCUCUUCCGUCCCUCCAAGAAUCUCUCCAAUUUUUCCAAUUCGCCUUUUUCCUCCAAGAAUUCCGUCAAUUUGGGCGAGCAACAGAAUCCCGCCAAUUUCUCCUAUUCCCCUGGAUUCCCACCAAAUAUCCCGCCAAUUUCUCCUGGGCUAGCAACAAUGUCUCUCAAAUUCUCCAAUUCCCCUUGAUUUUCUCCAAGAAUCCCGCCAACUUCUCAGAAACAGAGUCUGUACGGAACGAUUAAGAUUCAAUUCCUCUCAGCGGUGCCUCACCGCUCGCUUAGUGCUUUUUUGAAUCCUGG
rnacentral:lncRNA from 1 species